rnacentral:rRNA from 1 species
AGAGCGAACGCUGGCGGCAGGCCUAACACAUGCAAGUCGAACGGACCCUUCGGGGUUAGUGGCGGACGGGUGAGUAACACGUGGGAACGUGCCUUUAGGUUCGGAAUAGCUCCUGGAAACGGGUGGUAAUGCCGAAUGUGCCCUUCGGGGGAAAGAUUUAUCGCCUUUAGAGCGGCCCGCGUCUGAUUAGCUAGUUGGUGAGGUAAAGGCUCACCAAGGCUACGAUCAGUAGCUGGUCUGAGAGGAUGACCAGCCACAUUGGGACUGAGACACGGCCCAAACUCCUACGGGAGGCAGCAGUGGGGAAUCUUGCGCAAUGGGCGAAAGCCUGACGCAGCCAUGCCGCGUGAAUGAUGAAGGUCUAGGAUUGUAAAAUUCUUUCAGUAGGGACGUAUAAUGACGGUACUACAGAAGAAGCCCGACUAACUCGUGCCAGCAGCCGAC